rnacentral:rRNA from 1 species
UAGGGAAUCUUCCACAAUGGACGCAAGUCUGAUGGAGCAACGCCGCGUGAGUGAAGAAGGUUUCCGGACCGUAAAGCUCUGUUGUUGGUGAAGAAGGAUAGAGGUAGUAACUGGCCUUUAUUUGACGGUAAUCAACCAGAAAGUCACGGCUAACUACGUGCCAGCAGCCGCGGUAAUACGUAGGUGGCAAGCGUUGUCCGGAUUUAUUGGGCGUAAAGCGAGCGCAGGCGGAAGAAUAAGUCUGAUGUGAAAGCCCUCGGCUUAACCGAGGAAUUGCAUCGGAAACUGUUUUCUUGAGUGCAGAAGAGGAGAGUAGAACUCCAUGUGUAGCGGUGGAAUGCGUAGAUAUAUGGAAGAAUACCAGUGGCGAAGGCGGCUCUCUGGUCUGCAACUGACGCUGAGGCUCGAAAGCAUGGGUAGCGAACAGGAUUAGAUACCCUUGGUAGUCCAUGCC